rnacentral:rRNA from 1 species
ACUCCUACGGGAGGCAGCAGUGGGGAAUAUUGCACAAUGGGCGCAAGCCUGAUGCAGCCAUGCCGCGUGUAUGAAGAAGGCCUUCGGGUUGUAAAGUACUUUCAGCAGUGAGGAAGGUGGGUAUGUUAAUAGCAUACUCAUUUGACGUUAGCUGCAGAAGAAGCACCGGCUAACUCCGUGCCAGCAGCCGCGGUAAUACGGAGGGUGCGAGCGUUAAUCGGAAUUACUGGGCGUAAAGCGCAUGCAGGUGGUUUGUUAAGUCAGAUGUGAAAGCCCGGGGCUCAACCUCGGAAUUGCAUUUGAAACUGGCAAACUAGAGUACUGUAGAGGGGGGUAGAAUUUCAGGUGUAGCGGUGAAAUGCGUAGAGAUCUGAAGGAAUACCGGUGGCGAAGGCGGCCCCCUGGACAGAUACUGACACUCAGAUGCGAAAGCGUGGGGAGCAAACAGGAUUAGAUACCCGGUAGGCUCUGC